CCCUUAGAUGUUCUGGGCCGCACGCGCGCUACACUGAUGCAUUCAACGAGUUUCUUCCUGGUCCGAGAGGAAUGGGUAACCUUUUGAAAGUGCAUCGUGAUAGGGAUAGACUAUUGCAAUUAUUGGUCUUCAACGAGGAAUUCCUAGUAGACGUAGUUCAUCAGACUGCAUCGAUUACGUCCCUGCCCUUUGUACACACCGCCCGUCGCUCCUACCGAUUGAAUGCUCAGGUGAGCCAUUCGGACCUUCAUCAUGCCGGUUUCCGGUUUUGAUGAGGGAAAGUCUUGCGAACCUUAUCAUUUAGAGGAGGGAGAAGUCGUAACA
rnacentral:rRNA from 1 species